rnacentral:rRNA from 1 species
CCUACGGGGGGCAGCAGUGGGGAAUAUUGCACAAUGGGGGAAACCCUGAUGCAGCGACGCCGCGGGAGUGAAGAAGGAAUUCGGGAUGGAAAGCUCUAUCAGCAGGGAAGAAAAGGACGGUACCUGAGUAAGAAGCCCCGGCUAACUACGUGCCAGCAGCCGCGGUAAUACGAAGGGGGCAAGCGUUAUCCGGAUUUACUGGGUGUAAAGGGAGCGUAGACGGCAGGGCAAGUCUGGAGUGAAAGGCGGGGGCUCAACCCCCGGACUGCUCUGGAAACUGUCCGGCUGGAGUGCAGGUGAGGUCAGUGGCAUUCCUAGUGUAGCGGUGACAUGCUUAGAUAUUAGGAGGAACCCCAGUGGCGCAGUCGGCUUACUGGACUGUAACUGACGUUGAGGCUCGAAAGCGUGGGUAGCAAACAGGAUUAGAUACCCGGGUAGUC